rnacentral:rRNA from 1 species
GACAGAGGGUGCAAACGUUGUUCGGAAUUACUGGGCGUAAAGCGCGUGUAGGCGGCCAUCUAAGUCGGGCGUGAAAUCCCACGGCUCAACCGUGGAAGUGCACUCGAAACUGGAUGGCUAGAGUCCUGGAGAGGAAGGUGGAAUGCUUGGUGUAGAGGUGAAAUUCGUAGAUAUCAAGCGGAACACCGGUGGCGAAGGCGGCCUUCUGGACAGUGACUGACGCUGAGACGCGAAGGC